UUGCAACUAUGUUGGAGGUAAGUUUCUUCUGUCCCACCAUUCUUUUUCAUCAUCUUUGAACUGAUGUUAUUUCCAUUGCAGGAUGUUGGAAACUCCAGAUCCAGCGUAUGUUGCCGAGUUCCAGCUUAGAUUAGCUCAAUGUUCCAAAAUCAAGGUCUCUUAUAGCUUCUUGUUUCCUUUGCAAUUGUUGCUUUCCUUCUUCAACAAUAAUUGUUUGCUUGAUGUCAUGAAUGUUGAUGUUGCCUCUUUAUUGCUCUAUUCCUUAUCCUCAGAUUUGGGGAUUGAUUUGUUUAUGUGCUUUCUGAUUUUGCUUGGUAACUCUUGAAAACUAUGAUAUUCCAUUGUUGUUUGUGUCUCCAUGACUUUAUUAGCUAGUGUAUCCGCAACCUUGUUUCCUUCCCUGUAAAUGUGAGUGAUUUGAGAACUUAGUUGUUGUAGUUUCUGCCUUAUUUCUUCAAUAAUUUCCAUCAUCUCCCAUGGAACUCUCCAUUGCUGUACAUUUUUAUAGCCAGUGAAUCAAUCUCUAUAAUGACUUGUCGACAGCCAUUUUCAUAGCAGUAGUUCAAUGACUCAUAACUGGCUAGUGCUUCUGCUUCUGUGUUGGUUGUCAUCCCUAUGUCCCUAGCCUUAGCAAACACUAAAUCUCUUGUGUGGUUUCUUAGUCAAAAACUAUAUGAUCCCAUUCCUGGUUUCCUCUACAGGCUCCGUCGGUGUUACAUUUCAGAUUUCCUUCUUCAGGUGGACUUCAUUUUACACUGUGAUAAUGCACCUGAGGUCUGUAAUCUUUCAAUUUGCUUAUAAUGGCAAUCCACUCACUUAUUUUUUAUUUCUGGUCCAUGGGUAUUUAAUCUUCACGAACUUUCUCACCAAGUCCUGAACUUGCUCCACCAUUGUGUUUUAUGUAGUAUUUCCUCCAUACUUUUUGUUGUUCCUUCUCUUCCAAAGUAUCCACAUUAUGAUUGUUGGCAUAGCUUGAUAUAUCACUUUUAGCUUUGGUGAAUCAUCUUGUUUCCACCAAGUGAUAAUAAGUUGUUGAAGGUGCAUUCCAAUAAUGUUUAUACCUGCAAAACUAGCAAACUGCCUCGAUAGCCUAGUGGCUAUAGGGGUUGUUUAAAAAAGAUGCGACAUAGUUUCCUCCUUCUUUGUUUCACAACACCAACAUCCCGAAACAAUUGGAAUGUGCAUUCUUUUGAGGUUGUCAUCUGAAGCUAUUUUCCUAUUCCAUACCAGAAGAAAUUCACCUUAAAAGAAAGUCCUUUACACCAUAUAAACUCAUAGUCUCUUCUGCAUUU
rnacentral:lncRNA from 1 species